rnacentral:rRNA from 1 species
AGAGUUUGAUCCUGGCUCAGAACUAACGCUGGCGGCGUGCCUAACACAUGCAAGUCGAGCGGUUACCAAUUUGUAGCAAUACAGAUGAAGUGAUAGCGGCAGACGGGUGAGUAACACGUAGGCAAUCUACCUUUUCGUUCGGGAUAACUAGCCGAAAGGUUAGCUAAUACCUGAUACGAUCAUCGAGUGGCAUCGCUUGAUGAUGAAAGCAGCAAUGCGCGGAUUGAGGAGCCUGCGGCCCAUUAGCUAGUUGGUGAGGGUAACAGCCCACCAAGGCAACGAUGGGUAGCUGGUCUGAGAGGACGACCAGCCACACUGGGACUGAGACACGGCCCAGACUCCUACGGGAGGCAGCAGUGAGGAAUUUUCCGCAAUGGGCGAAAGCCUGACGGAGCGACGCCGCGUGCACGAGGAAGGUCUUCGGAUCGUAAAGUGCUGUCGAGGGGGACGAUUAUGACGGUACCCCUGGAGGAAGCCCCGGCUAACUACGUGCCAGCAGCCGCGGUAAGACGUAGGGGGCAAGCGUUGUUCGGAAUUACUGGGCGUAAAGCGUGCGUAGGCGGAUUCGUAAGUC